GAGACUUUUGUUUUGUCAUCAAAGUCAUAAAACGUCAAAAUAAUUAUUUUACUGUUGAAAUCAGUUGAAAUAAUGAACACAAUCAAAAGAAAAUGGUUGAUAAAAUUAGCUUGUUGUAUUACACUAAUCGAAGCCAUCUAUCAACUCAUAUUUUACUUUUCACUUCCGCUUGAGUUGAAUUUAAAAUGUAAACAUGUUGGCACUUCACCGAGUGAUACGCUCGCACAUUACCAAUUUCGUUAUUCGCCGGCAUGUAAAAAUAUGAAUGCGACAAUUUUCCAUAUUGGCAAUCCCAUAGAUUUGCAAGAUGCUCAUCCACAUAUACUCGACUUAUUUCAAGUUCUAAGUCGUUUCAAACCAAAAACAUCGGGAAUAGCGCAAUAUUUGAACUGCAUUGAAUUAUGGUGGGUGAUUUUGAAUAUUCUGUACAUACUAUCGAGUUUAUUACUUUUUUGUGAAAGUAUUAUAACAGUAUCCUAUUAUAAUUACAUAGUACUACCUUGGAUAAUAAUGACGUUUAUUGUUUUUACCCAAGAUGUGAUUAACGUAAUGUGGUUUUUGUACGUGUUUAUUACCUGUCAGAAGCCGUCCUCUUGCGCUCUUUGGGUACCCAGAACAAGAUACUAUGAAAUACUCCGUUUGAGGCUCAAGCUUUUAGAUCAGAAUUCAGUGUAUGGUUCGGAGCUGUACAAGACGCUCACUUAUAUGCCUUUGAGACUCUUAGUCGUCUCGUGCAGACACAUUUUUGGACUUCCAAUACUGGUAAUCCUGGCUUGUUGGUUUAUCAAGGAGCAUAAUCAAACUUUAAAUAAAGUUAAAGGUGUACAAGAACUCAUUUAUG